CGGCCUGGGCCCGGGGGUGGGGUGAGGACUGAACUGAAGCGGGGCUGGUUUGUAGCUGUUGGGUUUGGAAGAAUGAGAGGUGAUGCCAGCGGCUCGUCCACUGUGGGCAGCGGCCUCUUCCCUUGCCGCUGCCGCCGGUGAGCGGACCUCCUCUCUCUCUCUCUCUGUUGUUAGUGCCAAUAUGGACCACCACCUCUGGCUGCUCACCCUCCCCUUUCAGAAUGUCCUGGACCUGCUCAGAGACAUCCUUGACCCUGGAACCAGGGAGACUCCAGCACGGUGCCAACAACAGAUGUGAAGUGAACAGGACCACAGUUCCCUGCUGUUUGUCUUCCACCCUUCUCCAACAAUGGGGUCACAUCUGAGGUUUUCCAACCCGCUGGGAUCUUCCUGGAACACAGUGAGUUCUGACAAACUUCAACUGAUGUCUCCAACUUCUCUCCAGCCACUUCCUUUAAACCCUCGAGUGCAGGUCGUUGGGACCCGGUGAUGUUUGCUUUUGGUCCCAUUAGUUUUUCCCCUUGUGAUGGGAUUGUUACAGAUUAUUGAUAGUGUUGAAAUGUUACCCAUCAUGUAUCUUUGGCAUGUUUGCUGUGUGCCCACCGUGAACACUGAUCUAAUUGUUGAGUUAACCCAUCUCCCAUUUCCUUGUUAGCUUGAGGUUUGGAGUCUCUUGUCACUGAUCCCUGAAAACUCCCCAGUCCUCUGGUCCACCACCAGCCCCUGCCAUUUAAUGUGCCUCUGAUUUAAUAUUUCCCUCGACCUCCUUUGUUGACCACAGAAGGUUCAUCUUUCUCCUGGAUCCCUCUGUCUAAUUGGGAUCAGUGUCUGCUGAGCGUUAUGAUCCAGCUGUUUAAACAUCUGCCACUGCUCACCCACUGCCCUGUCCCUGAGCCUAUUUACCCCGUCCACCCCAGACAGCUCCACCCUCACACCCGUGGAACUGCCCUUAUUCAGGGUGAGGCCAUUGGUUCUGGAGCCGGGUGUUCACCCUCACACUGUGUCUGGAAUUCUCCCAUGUUGUGAUCACUUCUUCCUCAGGAUCCUGCACCACAGGAUCUCUCAUUGAUCCCACCUCAUUACACAGACCCACAUCUAACAUGUCCUGUCCCUGGGUAGGUUGUGUAACACACUGCUGUAAGGAACAGUCCCUGCCCACUCCACACAUUCCUCUCCCACGGCACCUUGCCAGUUUGAUGAGUUUAAUCAAUACACAGAUGAAACCACCCAUGACAGUCACAGUUCCCUUCUCCCCUCCCUUUGAUAUUUCCCCAUUCGUGCUCUGUCCCAUCGAGAGGCAACACCUGGGGGUCCAGAGACCACUCCCACCCAUGCCUUCUAUCCCCUACUGUUCAUUAUUUCCCCACAAACCGAUUCCCCAUCACUGUCCCUACAUCUACACCCCCCUCACCCCCACGUGGUGAA